rnacentral:rRNA from 2 species
UACAGAGGUGGCAAGCGUUGUUCGGAUUUAUUGGGCGUAAAGGGUCCGUAGGCGGCCUGGAAAGUUGGAUGUGAAAUCCCACAGCUUAACUGUGGAACUGCAUUCAAAACUUCUAGGCUCGAGUGUGAUAGGGGUAAAGGGAAUUCCCGGUGUAAGGGUGAAAUCUGCAGAGAUCGGGAGGAACACCAGUCGCGAAGGCGCUUUACUGGAUCACUACUGACGCUGAGGGACGAAAGCCAGGGGAGCAAACGGG